rnacentral:lncRNA from 1 species
AUCAUGCUUUGUUCGGUUUUAAAUCUCACCUUAGGACAUUUAUGAAACGAAGUGUUGGGUAAUGAGUGAUUUGGGAUAUGAUUUGGGCCUUCUUUGAACCGUUUGAGCCUUUCAAGCCUACCUUUAAAUUUUUAUCCUUAGAACCUUGAUUUGAGCCUCGGAGAAAAAAGGUGUUCUUUCUUUUAGCUAAUAUGUAGAAGGUGGAAAAGUGGAGAUUUUUGAAUAAUUAUCCCUUGGAGUUCGGUCGAAAUGUUUU